GGACCCAUGGCGCAACGGUAGCGCGUUCGACUCCAGAUCGAAAGGUUAUCCGUUCAAAUCGGGUUGGGUUCA
rnacentral:tRNA from 2 species